rnacentral:rRNA from 1 species
GAUGAACGCUGGCGGCGUGCCUAAUACAUGCAAGUCGAGCGAAUGACGAGGAGCUUGCUCCUCUGAUUUAGCGGCGGACGGGUGAGUAACACGUGGGUAACCUGCCUGUAAGACGGGGAUAACUCCGGGAAACCGGAGCUAAUACCGGAUGAUAACGAGAAACGCCUGCUUCUUUUUUGAAAGUCGGUUUCGGCUGACGCUUACAGAUGGGCCCGCGGCGCAUUAGCUAGUUGGUGAGGUAACGGCUCACCAAGGCGACGAUGCGUAGCCGACCUGAGAGGGUGAUCGGCCACACUGGGACUGAGACACGGCCCAGACUCCUACGGGAGGCAGCAGUAGGGAAUCUUCGGCAAUGGACGAAAGUCUGACCGAGCAACGCCGCGUGAGCGAUGAAGGCCUUCGGGUCGUAAAGCUCUGUUGUCAGAGAAGAACAAGUACCGGAGUAACUGCCGGUACCUUGACGGUACCUGACCAGAAAGCCACGGCUAACUACGCGCCAGCAGCCGCGGUAACAC